UCUAAAGUGGGGACGGUUUCUCUUUCCACAGUGCUGACAAGGAGGAUGAUUUAGUUUCUCAUCAUCUCCUUUACCACCUUUGUUGGAACUUUCUCCUUGCUCAAAGUUCCUUGGAACUUUCUCCUUUGUUAGAACUUUCUCCUUGCUCAAAGUUCCAAAGUGAUAUUUGACAGAUAUUCCUUGGAAUUUUCCAAAGAGGAAAUAAUGGAUUCAAACCUCUCAAGAAGAGUCACAAGGAUUUUUUGCACUAUCCUUGUAUCGGAAAAUUCUGUCCUAAACAACUUCUCCUUGUUUACAAUGUUUAGAAGUCUGUCAGAAUAUUCUUUCACCCUUUCUAACUCCUUCAUCCGCUACAUCUCAAACUCUCUGAUCAAAUUCAGCACUUGCAUCCCUUUGACUCUCUCAUUUCCUUCAUACUCUUGGUUGAGAAAAUCCUAGAUAGCCUUAGCUGACUUUAGAGUCACAAUUUUGGUGAAGAUUGAUUGAGGAACAGCAGAAAAUAAACAAGACUUUUUGCCUUUGAUUUUCGUUGAUUUCUUUCCUUAUGAUACUUGAUUUGAUUAAGUGUUGGAUCUUCUGGUAAUUGACCAACCUCAUAAUCCUCCUCAAUAGCUUCCCAAUAAUCAUUUGCAUCAAGAAAAGCCUUCACUAUGACUGUCCAUAGAGGAAAAUGUGUGUUGGGCCAUUGAGUCGUCAUCCUAACCGCCAAAUUGAGUAUUUUGAGCCGAGAAUUGAAGGUGGUAGAAAAAUUAAAGAUGGAUACAACCAUGCAACUUGGAUGAUGGAAAUUACAACUUUUGGCAUUUGAAAUAGAUUUGAACAUCGACUUUGCUGAUAUAUACAAAAAUUCCUAACUACGUAUAGGGAAGUUGUUUUGUGGUGUUACUCAACAUUCUUAUUUAUUUAGUAAAAAUAUUUUUUCAAACUAGUGCUGAAAAAAUAGAUAUGUAUGCCAUAUGUUAGGUGGAAUGAAGCACUUGUAGCAGAAUUGAGCAAGCCUCCUUUUCAAACCAUGGAAACAACAGUGGUCCUCUUUAGUUUGGUUUGUUUUUUUGACACAUGGUGUAAUGGUGACAGUGAAUUGUUUUUUACAUCUCAAUUUGGGAUGUGACAAGCACAGUAAAACUAAAUGACAAAUAAGACAGUG